rnacentral:rRNA from 1 species
CCUACGGGUGGCAGCAGUGGGGAAUAUUGGGCAAUGGGCGCAAGCCUGACCCAGCAACGCCGCGUGAAGGAAGAAGGAUUUCGGGUUGUAAACUUCUUUUAAGAGGGAAGAGCAGAAGACGGUACCUCUUGAAUAAGCCACGGCUAACUACGGGCCAACAACCGCGGUAAUACGUAGGUGGCAAGGGGUGUCCGGAUUUACUGGGUGGAAAGGGCGUGCAGCCGGGAAGACAAGUCAGAUGUGAAAUCCCGGGGCUCAACCGCGGGACCGCAUUUGGAACUGGUUUUCUUGGGUACCGGAGAGGUCAUCGGAAGUCCUUGUGUAGCGGUGAAA